rnacentral:lncRNA from 1 species
AGAGUGUGCCAACAGCUUAGAUAUAGAGUGUGAGAGAGAAGAGUGGAGGCUGGUUCUCAGGCUCCAGACGCAUAAGCCUGUGUGGAGCGCAGCGUCGCUGAGCAAGACAGGUGUGGAGGAUGAGAAGCGGGGCCACAAGAUGGGAAGGGAAUCUGUGUGGAGAUGGUGCCCUAAACAUGCUGCCUUGAGGAGGGACCUCUGCAUGGGGUGGCCGGGCACAGCCAGUUGCGCAGGGUACCUCAGACCCACAUCCCAGAUGACAUUGCUCAGAAGCUCGCAGCUGGAGAUGAUAUCACCUUAGACAACAUCACCCUAGCCCAAGACAUCGCUAUUAGAGAUACAUCACCUGGACACUAAAGCCUCCACCCCAGUGACACCCAUGCAAUGCCUCUCUCAGGGUGCUGACAAAAUGGACAUGGACAUUUGUUGCUUUUCUUCUUUUGAAUUAGGAACUCUAUUGUGUUUCCUGAAUGUACUGUCUGCUUGGCCCGUGAUCCUGGUAUGUUCCUUGCUGUCUGCCAAAACAUGCACCCUCCCCUCCACACCUAAAGGAAAAUCUGCUAGAAGCUACUACUCUCAAUGCCAUUCUAAAAUUGACAAAGAGUAUUAUUUUCCCCAAGAGGCAGCUGCUGCAGGCCAGUGAAUCCUUUGGACCCUGGGGAGAGGGUCAUACACUCCCUAGUGACUUCUACUCCACCUUUCAGCUUUCCACCAGGACCUCCUGCCGUGUCCCCAACUGUAACCACCCCAUCCCCUUGGUUACACACAAAUAUCACCAAUCUUUACAUGUACCGUACUGACUUCUCAGAUCAUACCCUCCAACAAGAUAACUGCAGGACUUGCCACCAUGACCUGAGAAAUACACCAAGAUAUUAUUGUCCAAUUUUUUUGAGAGAUAUAUAUAUAUAUCUCAUACUUUUAACAUACUUUGCAAUCCACCAAGAUAUUGGUAGAGACCCUGGAAAUUUCGAAUCUAUUUCCCCUGCUAAUGCCAUAUGAAUGGGAGACUUAGAUACAGGCUGGCCUACAAGGACUCCUUAUACUUCGAUUUUUGUUCCUCCUUUCAACUCUUAUAAAAAAUAUUUUCUAUACUA